GCUAGCGUUGCUCGGAAUUACUGGGCGUAAAGGGUGCGUAGGCGGGUCUUUAAGUCAGAGGUGAAAUCCUGGAGCUCAACUCCAGAACUGCCUUUGAUACUGAGGAUCUUGAGUUCGGGAGAGGUGAGUGGAACUGCGAGUGUAGAGGUGAAAUGCGUAGAUAUCCGGAGGAACACCAGUGGCGAAAGCGGCCACCUGGACUGCACCUGACGCUGACACGCGAAAGCUAGGGGAGCGAACGGG
rnacentral:rRNA from 1 species